GAAGUCACAAAGGAGGCAGGGGGUGGGGCUGGUGCAGAGUCAGUCACCAGAUCAAGGGAGAUUGGAAUCCCACCCCCUUAGCGAAGCGUAAGCGUGGCGAGUGGAUUAGUGCGAAUGGAGGGGAGCCUCUGAGCACUACUGUGGGAGGAAACGCGAAGCCAGCUACCCCGGGAAGCUGGAAGUGUACACAAACCAGGAAGGAGUUAGAGUCCUUGGGGGCUGACGGCCCCCUAAUCGAAGGGAAUUUGGAGGCUGUUCCUAUCCAAGAGGUUGAAAAGCUCGCAUAUCCAGGUGCCAGGGUCCAGGCCAGAGAGACCAGAGUUCUGGAAGCCAUGGAGCAUUCAGAAGGACGGGAGAAGGACAAGAUCUGGAAUUCUGGAAGUCCCAGCUUGCCAGAGCAAUCUUUCUGAAGGGCGGUCAAGGACAUCAGAGAAAGGAGUGAGGAGGGGCAUCCCGGGGACAGGGGAGCAGUGGGACUCACAGACAGGGGACGAGACCAGGGUGUCCUGUAUGGUAACUAUGAUAACAGCCAGAGGAACUGGCAUCUUUUGCUACCCAGAACCUAUGCCCCAACAGGAAAGAGGGCAUAGCUGACCAGAGAAGUAGCUACCUCAAGGCCUGGCUGAGGGGUAGUGGGAUAGGGGCGGGAGAACACUGGACAGCACUGCCCCCUGGGCAGGAAGAUACAUCCAUGAUGUUGAUCAUGCAACGGCACGCGUCUAGGCUAAAGCCCUUGGCGCUGAUGUUUCUGACUGUGAGGGAGGGGAUGGGUGGAAAGAAGAGAAGGAGUGAGUAGGGGGUUGUGGGGGAUGCAGAGUGGUCAAGGCGGGGUGAAUACUGUAGGGGAAGGGCUGAGUAGUAGGGUGAAAGACUCACGUUUGUGGAUCACCUUGUUGAGCAGCCUUUGUAGCUCAUACAUGCCUAUCUCCUUGUCCUAGGGAGGGGGACCGUAAACCCUUGCUCUGGUCCCUUCGGCUCCCAUCCACCUCCUUUCAGCUUCCAGCUCUCAGCCUCUCACCUCUCCUCCUGCCACUAUCUCAAACAAAUGUUUGAACUCCUGGUCUACGUAAUGCUCAGAGACGUUUUCCUGGAGGGAAAGGAGUGAGAGAGGGACCCAGUCCAGGAAGUUCCUUUACAUCCCCCAGAGGCUUCCUCCAGUCCCCCGACACCAGAGCCUCCCCUCACCUCUUGGAGUAGCUCAGCACAGUUGACUUCAUCCAUUUCCCUGGGCAAAAGUGAAUGAAGCUUGGGGGUUACGAGGGGGUCAGGGAGACAUUAAUUUCAGUGAGAUGGUCGGAGUGGGGGGUGCAUUAUAUCAAAUAUCUGAGUCUGUAUGGAAUGAGCUCCAUGGCAUUUGGGUUCUGGUUCUGGCUCUGCUACUAACUGGGAUUCCCCUCCACAUGCCUCAGUUUCCCUGACUGUAAAAUAGGGACAGGGUUGGGGGGGGGACCAGAUGACUGCUUCCUGAGCUUGACCUCUUACAGCUCUUGGGCAUAUGCCCUUGGAGCAGUGAGGUGGGGGCCCUCACCAGGACAUGCUGUGCUUCUCUGUGAAGACCCGAAGCAGAAAGUCAGCAUCCCUGUGCGGCUCAAAGGUGGAGGGAAUGAUGAUAUAUUCCCCUGGAGGCAGCUGGAGAUAGCUGCUCACUUCACGUGAGUUGGUGAAGAUCUCUGAGAAGCCAUGGUUCUGAUACUUUAUGAAGAAGUCCUUCUUCAAGUGGAUAUCUUGGAUGUUCUGCAACUAUAUGUGCCCCGGAGGGAUGACCAGAACCUUUAACGUGCUGAUGACACUGUAGAGCUCUGCGUGGGGGCCAGAAGACAGCUGGAAAGAACGCAUCUAGCCUUGGAAAUGUCCUGAGGCGUGUCUGCUAACCUGGUGGAUUUGCAGCCUAGGAAAAGGGCCCUGCUUGCGUCUGUUUUGUUCACUAUUAAACUACUGGAGACUGGACUGGGGCCCAGCAUACAGUAGGAGUUCCAUAAAUCGUCAUUAAAUAUAUAAGAGAAAGAACAAAUGGCCAUUUCUAGGAUCUUGAAAAGCGCGGUUUGGGAAACACUUGUCAGGGAUUUCUCUUGGCCCCUGGAGUCAAGGCUCUUGGUGGGACAUCUAGGGGUAGGCUCAGCGGGGCUUGUGCAGAAGUCUCGGAAUGUCUGGAAAUCAGGACACAGGCUAUUGCUGACUCUUGGAUGUGUGAGCUUGAGCAAGUGGCCUCAUUGCUGUGGCUCUCAAUCUCCUUCCUGUUCAGAAGGCCUUUGGAACUAUGCGGAGCACAAAGGAAGUGCUAUCUAAACAUUUCAGAUCUAAAAACUUGUUAAAAGGAAACUGCUGCCUGCUUUUAAAAACACAAGGCACCACUCAAGCAAGAGCCAGGGCUGUGGAUCCUGUUGGAAAGGGUCCCACUCCUAGGUGGACAGUGGCCCUGGGAGGGAGGACGGGGUGAGGGAGCAAGAGUGGCUGGAAGAUCAGCUGGGGCGCCCACCGUGUAGAUGAUAAAGCCAAUGGUCUGUAAUGGGGCUCCUUGGGGUCGUGCCUGCCGCCAGUUCUUCUGCAUCAGGGCUAUCAGGCAGGUACAGAUGGCUUCCUCGUCCUCUGGGUCAUCCUCCAGAGGGAGAGAGAUCCUAAACUGGGGGUUGGUCCAGAACGUGUCUGUAAAAGAAGCAGGUCAGGAUGGCUCUGCCCUGCCCAGCGUGCAGUGGCUUCUCAGCCACAUGCCCACCUCCUCAACAGAGCCCAGUGGGAUCUGACGGGCCCCUGACUUUGGGCACCCUGAUCCCUGUGACCCUGUGUCCCCCAGGUAGGGUUGUACAGGUGACUCAGGGAUCCAUCCCUGGCUUCCUGCCCCCUGAAUCCCCUCACCCACCAACGUGGUUUCUGCAGCCCCCCGCAGUGCUGCCCCGCCGCCAGCUGCCCUCGUAGAAGAUGAUGUGCCAACAGCUCCUAUAGUCCCCAGAGAGUGCAUCAGGCAUCAGGCUGCAGAUCUCCAGGGAUGUGAAGUUCUUCAGGAAAUCUUGCAUCCUCUGGGUCAUGGAUUCCAACUCACUGCUGCUGGUGAUCUACAGAACAGAGAGGAAGGAGAGCAAGCAAUUCAGGAUCUGGUCAGAGGGACUGGGGCGACUGCAGAGAGGGGUGAACUCUGUGGGCUCAUUUCUUUAAGAGUAAGCUUUGUAUUUUCAAAUAAUCGUAGAUUUACGUGCAGUUGUGAAACCCGAUACAGAGAGAUCUCAUGCACCCCAUAUUCAGUUUCCCGUGACUAUAACAUCUUGCAAAACUAUAUAUAGUACAAUAUCAAAACCAGGGUGUCGGUGUGGAUGCAGUUCACCAGUCCUAUAGAGAUUCCCCCAGUUUUACUGGUACUCAUGCGUGCGUUCUAUGCAGUUUUGUCACAUGUGCGUUGUUGUGUAUUCACCACCACAGUCAGGAUAUAGACGACGUCCCUCACCUCAAGCAUCCCGCCUGUUGCCCUUUUAUAACCACAGCCACCUCUUCUUAAUACCCUCCUCCCUAACCUCUGACAACCACUCAUCUGUUUUCCUUUUUUUUUUUUCAUUUUGUCAUUUCAACACUGUCAUAUAAAUCAAAUCAUAUAGUAUGGACCCUUUUGAGACUGAACCUUUUUUAAAUUCGGCACAAUUCCCUUGAGAUUUUCCCAAGUCGUUAUACGUGUUAAUAGUUCAUUUCUUUUUAUUGUUGAGCGUGUUCCAUGGUGUGCGUACCACUGUCUAACUAUUCACCCUUCGAAGGACAUCUAGGUUGU